rnacentral:rRNA from 1 species
GACGAACGCUGGCGGCGUGCUUAACACAUGCAAGUCGAACGAAGAGCGAUGGAAGCUUGCUUCUAUCAAUCUUAGUGGCGAACGGGUGAGUAACGCGUAAUCAACCUGCCCUUCAGAGGGGGACAACAGUUGGAAACGACUGCUAAUACCGCAUACGAUCCGACCUCGGCAUCGAGGAUGAUGAAAGGUGGCCUCUAUUUAUAAGCUAUCACUGAAGGAGGGGAUUGCGUCUGAUUAGCUAGUUGGAGGGGUAACGGCCCACCAAGGCAAUGAUCAGUAGCCGGUCUGAGAGGAUGAACGGCCACAUUGGGACUGAGACACGGCCCAGACUCCUACGGGAGGCAGCAGUGGGGAAUCUUCCGCAAUGGACGAAAGUCUGACGGAGCAACGCCGCGUGAGUGAUGACGGCCUUCGGGUUGUAAAGCUCUGUUAAUCGGGACGAAAGGUCUUCUUGCGAAUAGUUAGAAGAAUUGACGGUACCGGAAUAGAAAGCCACGGCUAACUACGUG